rnacentral:rRNA from 1 species
GAAUACAUGCAAGUCGAGGGGCAGCACGAGUAGCAAUACUUGGUGGCGACCGGCGCACGGGUGCGUAACACGUAUACAAUCUGCCUUUAACAGGGGAAUAGCCCGGAGAAAUUCGGAUUAAUGCCCCAUAACAUAAGAAGUAGCAUUACUUUUUAUUGAAAGCUCCGGCGGUUAGAGAUGAGUAUGCGUCUGAUUAGCUAGUUGGUGAGGUAACGGCUCACCAAGGCGACGAUCAGUAGGGGAUCUGAGAGGACUACCCCCCACACUGGUACUGAGACACGGACCAGACUCCUACGGGAGGCAGCAGUAAGGAAUAUUGGUCAAUGGGGGCAACCCUGAACCAGCCAUGCCGCGUGCAGGAUGAAGGCGCUAUGCGUCGUAAACUGCUUUUGUACAAGAGAAAACCACUUUACGUGUAGAGUGUUGAUAGUAUUGUAAGAAUAAGGAUCGGCUAACUUCGUGCCAGCAGCCGCGGUAAGACGAAGGAUCCAAGCGUUAUCCGGAUUCAUUGGGUUUAAAGGGAGCGUAGGCGGGUUUAUAAGUCAGUGGUGAAAUCCUAUCGCUUAACGAUGGAACUGCCAUUGAUACUGUAGACCUAGAGUACAGAUGAUGUUGGCGGAAUAUGACAUGUAGCGGUGAAAUGCAUAGAUAUGUCAUAGAACACCGAUUGCGAAGGCAGCUGACAAAACUGUAACUGACGCUGAGGCUCGAAAGUGCGGGGA